GUCGGGACGAGUUGGGAGGAGGAGGAGGCGGGGUCGGCCCCAGGGGCGCCCUGGAUGCGAGCAAAAGCGAGUCCAGCAUGCGAGAUCCUCGUUCCCUGACGAAGGAUUGAACCCGUACCCCCUGCCGUGGAAACACAGAGUCCCGACCACUGGCUUGCUGGGAAGUCUCUCUUUGUGUCCCCACUGGAAAGAACUUCUCAUCCAGGAUUUCUGGGGCGGCCGUUGGCCCUGCUCUGCCGCCGCUGCCCGCUGUCCUGCGCUUCCUGUCACUCUGAGGCAGCACAAUCCUGGCCUUCCACGAAUAGAGGAAGCCAAACGGAGCAGGAAGGGAGGUAAACGCCCACGAGUGGAGCUGUCUCUGCCCCGCAGGUCAGCUUUGGGGUUUUGUCUCCUGCUUCACAACCAAGAAACGGGCUUUUGUUUUGCUCUUCUUGUGGUUAAUUUGAGAUCCUGGAUAUUCAAGGAGCCCCGAGGUGGAAGAGGGUGACUUAAGUCCGCAUUGGAGAGGGGAUCCUACAGCAGACGGCUCAGUAUGUGGGAACACCGGCCCCGGCCUUGCUGUUUGCAGGGCGGGAUUCCCGUGCCAGGGGUGGCACCCAGCUCAGGGCGCUCAGCUGAGAGUCUAAUGUGACUGUCCCCAUCCCAGCAGUUCUAGUUCAGGAAAACCAGCAGAGCCUUUGGUUGACAGCAUCCGGCUAAGGCAGACUGGGCACCAC